AAUGAGUAGUCAUAAUAUGAGAAGCCCAAGCCACAUGGGGAGACCACAUGGAGAACUAACUUGCCUCUGUCAAACCCAUAUGAUCUCCCUGCCAAGUGCCAGCAUCGAAUGCCAACCAUGAUUGUUUUAAGUCCUCAUUGGGCAUUUUAAGUUCUGUUUGAAAGAGCUGCAUCACAAUUCUUAUAAAGAACUUGUUGAAUCAUAAGCUGUUUCCUUAAGCACCAAUUAUGUGGGGGACCUUGUGCCAGGCACUGGGCCACAUAAACGAGAAUCACACGAACCAGGAUCAAGAAGAGGCAGCCACUCUACAGUAAGGUAAAUAAGUCAUUUAGUCUCUGCACAUUUACCUCUGUAUUUAUCAAGUAUUUGUCGAAGGAAGGAAGGAAGUGAAUAAAGGAGGUGAGGAAGAAGAAGUUUCCUGGGUUUUUUUUAUGUGUGAGAUUGGAAGAAAUCUUGUGAGUAAUCACGAAUUUUAGGAAUCCCAGAAUGGAGCAAAGAAGAUUCUGAAAAAAAGAGAAAUACUUCUCUGAGUUGGAAAUUGGUUAAAUUUAGUGAUGUUUGAAGCCUCAGCCUACACUGGAA
rnacentral:lncRNA from 1 species